UUAUCUGUUGUGUUCGUGAUUGAUUUAUUUCCCUGAGCCGAUUAAGUAUAGAAAAAGGAGAUGAGAUUGGUUACUUUUGUGUAAGCCUGCCUUGAAGUGGGAAACCUACGGUAAACAUCGAACUUCCGCCUUGAACCAGAAAGGUUCAGGACCAUGUCAACACGGCACAAUGGA
rnacentral:other from 1 species